rnacentral:tRNA from 1 species
AUUAAGAUGGCAGAGCCCGGUAAAUGCAUAAAACUUAAACCUUUACGACCAGAGGUUCAACUCCUCUUCUUAAUA